rnacentral:ncRNA from 1 species
GGGCGGGACACGGGGUGCCCUGCCGGAUGCAGGGCUGAGAUCACACCCGUCGAACCUGAUCUAGCGGGCGCUCUGCGCCCGGGCCUAGCGGAGGGAUGUCAUCCAUGGAAGCC